UGGCAGGAAUCCUGAUGAACAAGUUUGACU
rnacentral:piRNA from 1 species